UUAAAUACUCAGGAGAUGUAAUUUUUUUAGCCUCUUAAUUUGGCAGUGUAUUUCAAAAUGUGGUAUGUAUCAAAAUAAUCUGGCCCCAAUUUCAUAACUUCUAAGUGGGAUGCAGCUCUGCCGUGUAUUUGUUGAAGGCAGUGAUGGUGGCAGUGAUUCUAAAAGAGAAAUUCUCAAUUUUGUAGCUGAUUCGCAUAGAGGGCUUGUAGUGUGACUGAGAAGAAAAGGCUUGGGGCUGCAAACUCCACAGAGAUAAAGGUGAAGUAAUUUUCCAGUAAAUGUUGGGGUUAGGAUCAAAAUUAUGUGUGAUUUAUUUCAAAAGCCCUCCUAGUGUUUGGCACAUUUUAAGCACGCAAACUUUGAAAGCAUACCUUGGUUUUCCUGGGUUCAUCUGAGGGC
rnacentral:lncRNA from 1 species